rnacentral:rRNA from 1 species
UACGUAGGGGGCUAGCGUUGUCCGGAUUCAUUGGGCGUAAAGAGCGUGUAGGCGGCCAGGUAGGUCGGUUGUGAAAACUGGAGGCUCAACCUUCAGAGGUCGACCGAAACCAUCUGGCUAGAGUCCGGGAGAGGAGAGUGGAAUCCUGGUGUAGCGGUGAAAUGCGCAGAUAUCAGGAAGAACACCCGUGGCGAAAGCGGCUCUCUGGAACGGUACUGACGCUGAGACGCGAAAGCGUGGGGAGCGAACAGG